rnacentral:tRNA from 1 species
CUUGGUGUAGCUCAGUGGUAGAGUGCUUGCCAAACAUGCAAGGUCUUGGGUUUGAUUCCCAGCACCAGAG